GCAGGGAUAUCGAAGUGGCCAUAACGAGGCGGUCUUGAAAACCGUUUGGGGGCAACCCCGCGUGGGUUCGAAUCCCACUCCCUGCGCCA
rnacentral:tRNA from 1 species